CAUUUUAAAAAAGAUGUGGCGCGGUUCUCAAAGAGACAAGUUGGAACUAACCACCAAAACAAAAAAGGACAUAAUGUAACUAACUUAUAGUAAUUAUAAAAAAGAAGAUGCGGUAUGAUUGCAAGUGAGACAACUCUCCACAAGAGACCAAAAUGACACAAAUUAACAAUUAUAGGUCAACGUACGGCCUACAACAAUGAGACGAAAUGACAAUGUAAAACUAUUCUAACGAGAAAACUAACG
rnacentral:lncRNA from 1 species